rnacentral:rRNA from 1 species
UCGAGAAUCAUUCGCAAUGGGCGCAAGCCUGACGAUGCGACGCCGCGUGAGUGAAGAAGGCCUUCGGGUUGUAAAGCUCUUUCGCUUGGGAACAAGAAACCAUGGCUAAUAUCCAUGGAAUUUGAGCGUACCAGGUAAAGAAGCACCGGCUAACUCCGUGCCAGCAGCUGCGGUAAUACGGAGGGUGCAAGCAUUAAUCGGAUUUAUUGGGCGUAAAGGGUGCGUAGGCGGGACCUUAAGUCAGAUGUGAAAUCCCGGGGCUCAACCCCGGAACUGCAUUUGAAACUGAGGUUCUUGAAGGUAGAAGGAGAAAGUGGAACUCCACAAGUAGCGGUGAAAUGCGUAGAUAUGUGGAAGAAUACCAGUGGCGAAGGCGACUUUCUAUUUUAUUCUUGACGCUGAGGCACGAAAGCAAGGGGAGCAAACAGGAUUAGAUACCCCUGUAGUCC